UGGGGAAUAUUGGACAAUGGGCGAAAGCCUGAUCCAGCCAUGCCGCGUGUGUGAAGAAGGUCUUCGGAUUGUAAAGCACUUUAAGUUGGGAGGAAGGGCAGUAAGUGAAUACCUUGCUGUUUUGACGUUACCGACAGAAUAAGCACCGGCUAACUCUGUGCCAGCAGCCGCGGUAAUACAGAGGGUGCGAGCGUUAAUCGGAUUUACUGGGCGUAAAGCGUGCGUAGGCGGCUAAUUGAGUCGGAUGUGAAAUCCCCGAGCUUAACUUGGGAAUUGCAUUCGAUACUGGUUAGCUAGAGUGUGGGAGAGGAUGGUAGAAUUCCAGGUGUAGCGGUGAAAUGCGUAGAGAUCUGGAGGAAUACCGAUGGCGAAGGCAGCCAUCUGGCCUAACACUGACGCUGAGGUACGAAAGCAUGGGGAGCAAACAGG
rnacentral:rRNA from 1 species